CCUAACACAUGCAAGUCGAACGAUGAAACAUUCUUCGGAAUGUGGAAGAGUGGCGAACGGGUGAGGAACACGUAAGAAUCUGCCCCUCGGUCGGGGACAACUCUUGGAAGCGAGAGCUAAUACCCGAUACGCUGUGGAGUGAAAGAAUUUCGCCGAGGGAUGAUCUUGCGUCUGAUUAGCUAGUUGGUGUGGUAAUGGCAUACCAAGGCGACGAUCAGUAGCUGGUCUGAGAGGAUGAACAGCCACAUUGGAACUGAGACACGGUCCAAACUCCUACGGGAGGCAGCAGUGGGGAAUUUUCCGCAAUGGACGAAAGUCUGACGGAGCGACGCUGCGUGAAGGAUGACGGCCUGCGGGUUGUAAACUUCUUUUCUCGAAGAAGAAGCUCUGACGGUAUUCGAGGAAUAAGCAUCGGCUAACUCCGUGCCAGCAGCCGCGGUAAUACGGAGGAUGCAAGUGUUAUUCGGAAUGAUUGGGCGUAAAGCGUCUGUAGGCUGUAUAGAAAGUCUUUUGUUAAAUGCCUCGGCUCAACCGAGAUCCAGCAAAGGAAACUUCUAUACUUGAGGGAAGUAGAGGUACAGGGAAUUCCCGGUGGAGCGGUGAAAUGCGUAGAUAUCGGGAGGAACACCAAUAUGGCGAAGGCACUGUACUGGGCUUUACCUGACGC
rnacentral:rRNA from 1 species